rnacentral:tRNA from 1 species
GCCUGGGUGGCUCAAUUGGUUUAGCACCGCCUUCAGCCCAGGGCAUGAUCCCGGAGACGUGGGAUCAAGUCCCACAUCGGGCU